rnacentral:rRNA from 1 species
GGUUAAGCGACUAAGCGUACACGGUGGAUGCCCUGGCAGUCAGAGGCGAUGAAGGGCGUGCUAAUCUGCGAUAAGCGCCGGUAAGGUGAUAUGAACCGUUAUAACCGGCGAUACCCGAAUGGGGAAACCCAGUGUGAUUCGUCACACUAUCAUUAACUGAAUCCAUAGGUUAAUGAGGCGAACCGGGGGAACUGAAACAUCUAAGUACCCCGAGGAAAAGAAAUCAACCGAGAUUCCCCAGUAGCGGCGAGCGAACGGGGAGGAGCCCAGAGCCUGAAUCAGCAUGUGUGUUAGUGGAAGCGUCUGGAAAGGCGCGCGAUACAGGGUGACAGCCCCGUACACAAAAGCGCAUGUGCUGUGAGCUCGAUGAGUAGGGCGGGACACGUGGUAUCCUGUCUGAAUAUGGGGGGACCAUCCUCCAAGGCUAAAUACUCCUGACUGACCGAUAGUGAACCAGUACCGUGAGGGAAAGGCGAAAAGAACCCCGGCGAGGGGAGUGAAAAAGAACCUGAAACCGUGUACGUACAAGCAGUGGGAGCACAGGUUUACCUGUGUGACUGCGUACCUUUUGUAUAAUGGGUCAGCGACUUAUAUUCUGUAGCAAGGUUAACCGAAUAGGGGAGCCGGAGGGAAACCGAGUCUUAAUUGGGCGUUAAGUUGCAGGGUAUAGACCCGAAACCCGGUGAUCUAGCCAUGGGCAGGUUGAAGGUUGGGUAACACUAACUGGAGGACCGAACCGACUAAUGUUGAAAAAUUAGCGGAUGACCUGUGGCUGGGGGUGAAAGGCCAAUCAAACCGGGAGAUAGCUGGUUCUCCCCGAAAGCUAUUUAGGUAGCGCCUCGUGAAUUCAUCUCCGGGGGUAGAGCACUGUUUCGGCUAGGGGGCCAUCCCGGCUUACCAACCCGAUGCAAACUGCGAAUACCGGAGAAUGUUAUCACGGGAGACACACGGCGGGUGCUAACGUCCGUCGUGAAGAGGGAAACAACCCAGACCGCCAGCUAAGGUCCCAAAGUCAUGGUUAAGUGGGAAACGAUGUGGGAAGGCCCAGACAGCCAGGAUGUUGGCUUAGAAGCAGCCAUCAUUUAAAGAAAGCGUAAUAGCUCACUGGUCGAGUCGGCCUGCGCGGAAGAUGUAACGGGGCUAAACCAUGCACCGAAGCUGCGGCAGCGACGCUUAUGCGUUGUUGGGUAGGGGAGCGUUCUGUAAGCCUGUGAAGGUGGCCUGUGAGGGUUGCUGGAGGUAUCAGAAGUGCGAAUGCUGACAUAAGUAACGAUAAAGCGGGUGAAAAGCCCGCUCGCCGGAAGACCAAGGGUUCCUGUCCAACGUUAAUCGGGGCAGGGUGAGUCGACCCCUAAGGCGAGGCCGAAAGGCGUAGUCGAUGGGAAACGGGUUAAUAUUCCCGUACUUGGUGUUACUGCGAAGGGGGGACGGAGAAGGCUAUGUUGGCCGGGCGACGGUUGUCCCGGUUUAAGCGUGUAGGUGUGUGUUCCAGGUAAAUCCGGUUCACUUUAACACUGAGGCGUGAUGACGAGGCACUACGGUGCUGAAGUAACAAAUGCCCUGCUUCCAGGAAAAGCCUCUAAGCAUCAGGUAACAUCAAAUCGUACCCCAAACCGACACAGGUGGUCAGGUAGAGAAUACCAAGGCGCUUGAGAGAACUCGGGUGAAGGAACUAGGCAAAAAAUGGUGCCGUAACUUCGGGAGAAGGCACGCUGACACGUAGGUGAAGUGAUUUACUCAUGGAGCUGAAGUCAGUCGAAGAUACCAGCUGGCUGCAACUGUUUAUUAAAAACACAGCACUGUGCAAACACGAAAGUGGACGUAUACGGUGUGACGCCUGCCCGGUGCCGGAAGGUUAAUUGAUGGGGUCAGCGCAAGCGAAGCUCCUGAUCGAAGCCCCGGUAAACGGCGGCCGUAACUAUAACGGUCCUAAGGUAGCGAAAUUCCUUGUCGGGUAAGUUCCGACCUGCACGAAUGGCGUAAUGAUGGCCAGGCUGUCUCCACCCGAGACUCAGUGAAAUUGAACUCGCUGUGAAGAUGCAGUGUACCCGCGGCAAGACGGAAAGACCCCGUGAACCUUUACUAUAGCUUGACACUGAACAUUGAGCCUUGAUGUGUAGGAUAGGUGGGAGGCUUUGAAGUGUGGACGCCAGUCUGCAUGGAGCCGACCUUGAAAUACCACCCUUUAAUGUUUGAUGUUCUAACGUGGACCCGUUACCCGGGUUGCGGACAGUGUCUGGUGGGUAGUUUGACUGGGGCGGUCUCCUCCUAAAGAGUAACGGAGGAGCACGAAGGUUGGCUAAUCCUGGUCGGACAUCAGGAGGUUAGUGCAAUGGCAUAAGCCAGCUUGACUGCGAGCGUGACGGCGCGAGCAGGUGCGAAAGCAGGUCAUAGUGAUCCGGUGGUUCUGAAUGGAAGGGCCAUCGCUCAACGGAUAAAAGGUACUCCGGGGAUAACAGGCUGAUACCGCCCAAGAGUUCAUAUCGACGGCGGUGUUUGGCACCUCGAUGUCGGCUCAUCACAUCCUGGGGCUGAAGUAGGUCCCAAGGGUAUGGCUGUUCGCCCUUUAAAGUGGUACGCGAGCUGGGUUUAGAACGUCGUGAGACAGUUCGGUCCCUAUCUGCCGUGGGCGCUGGAGAACUGAGGGGGCUGCUCCUAGUACGAGAGGACCGGAGUGGACGCAUCACUGGUGUUCGGGUUGUCAUGCCAAUGGCACUGCCCGGUAGCUAAAUGCGGAAGAGAUAAGUGCUGAAAGCAUCUAAGCACGAAACUUGCCCCGAGAUGAGUUCUCCCUGAGACUUAAAGUCUCCUGAAGGAACGUUGAAGACGACGACGUUGAUAGGCCGGGUGUGUAAGCGCAGCGAUGCGUUGAGCUAACCGGUACUAAUGAACCGUGAGGCUUAACCCU